CCAUUUUCAGUGAAGGAGCAGGCGCGCAAUUACCCAAUCCUGACUCAGGGAGGUAGUGACAAGAAAUAACAAUAAACCGGCUUAUGCCGGUUUAAUUGGAAUGAGUACAAUUUAAACAUCUUAACGAGGAACAAUUGGAGGGCAAGUCUGGUGCCAGCAGCCGCGGUAAUUCCAGCUCCAAUAGCGUAUACUAAAGUUGUUGCAGUUAAAAAGCUCGUAGUUGGAUUUCUGUGGGGACGGAGCGGCCGGCCGCACAUCGCGGUUCGAGCUAGCGCUUUCCCUACAUCCUGCCGCGAACCGUGCUACCAUUAGUUUGGUGGCGCCGGGGAUCGGCUCGAUUACUUUGAGAAAAAUAGAGUGUUCAAAGCAGGCCACAUGCCUUGAAUAAGUUAGCAUGGAAUAAUAACUAAGGACUUCGGUUCUAUUUUGUUGGUGUUCGGGACUGAAGUAAUGAUUGAUAGGGACAGUUGGGGCGGCCUGUAUUCCAAAGCGAGAGGUGAAAUUCUUAGACCUUCGGAAGACAAACAGCUGCGAAAGCGUUCCGCAAGGAUGUUCCCUUUGAUCAAGAACGAAAGUUGGGGGAUCGAAGACGAUCAGAUACCGUCGUAAUCUCAACUAUAAACUAUACCAGCUAGGGAUCGGCCAACGUUAUUUUAUACCGACUUGGUCGGCACCUUAUGAGAAAUCAAAGCAUCUGGGUUCCGGGGGGAGUAUGGUCGCAAGGCUGAAACUUAAAGGAAUUGACGGAAGGGCACCACCAGCCGUGGAGCCUGUGGCUUAAUUUGACUCAACACGGGAAAACUUACCAGGUCCAGACAUAGUAAGGAUUGACAGAUUGAUAGCUCUUUCUUGAUUCUGUGGGUGGUGGUGCAUGGCCGUUCUUAGUUGGUGGAGUGAUUUGUCUGGUUAAUUCCGUUAACGAACGAGACCCCAGCCUGCUAAAUAGCGCGCGUGAGCUUUGCUCGCGGCGAGCUUCUUAGAGGGACUAUGAUGCGCGGUAGCACAUGGAAGUUUGGGGCAAUAACAGGUCUGUGAUGCCCUUAGAUGUUCUGGGCCGCACACGGGCUACACUGGCGCCUGCAACGAGCAUAUCAGCUGGCCCGAGAGGGUCUUGGCUAAUCUUUUGAACCGGCGCCGUGCUUGGGAUUGACCUUUGCAAUUGUUGGUCAUGCAACGAGGAAUGCCUUGUAAACGCGAGUCAUCAGCUCGCAUUGAAUACGUCCCUGCCCUUUGUACACACCGUCCGUCGCUCCUACCGAUGAAUGUUCCGAUGAAAUUUUCGGAGAGCACCUGUGAACUUGGCUCUGCCUUGCGAACGGGAGGCUCAAAGUCAC
rnacentral:rRNA from 1 species